rnacentral:rRNA from 1 species
UACAGAGGCCUCGAGCGUUAAUCGGAAUCACUGGGCUUAAAGCGUGCGUAGGCGGACGUGCAAGCAUGUUGUGAAAUCCCAUGGCUCAACCAUGGAACUGCUUCGUGAACUGCACGUCUUGAGACAAGUAGGGGCGGUCGGAACGAUAGGUGGAGCGGUGAAAUGCGUAGAUAUCUAUCGGAACGCCGAAGGAGAAGUCAGGCCGCUGGGCUUGUUCUGACGCUGAGGUACGAAAGCGUGGGGAGCAAACGGG